rnacentral:rRNA from 1 species
AUUGAACGCUGGCGGCAUGCCUUACACAUGCAAGUCGAACGGCAGCGCGGACUUCGGUCUGGCGGCGAGUGGCGAACGGGUGAGUAAUACAUCGGAACGUACCCUGUUGUGGGGGAUAACUAGUCGAAAGAUUAGCUAAUACCGCAUACGACAUGAGGGUGAAAGUGGGGGACCGCAAGGCCUCACGCAGCAGGAGCGGCCGAUGUCUGAUUAGCUAGUAUGUGGGGUAAAGGCCCACCAAGGGGACGAUCAGUAGCUGGUCUGAGGGGACGAUCAGCCACACUGGGACUGAGACACGGCCCAGACUCCUACGGGAGGCAGCAGUGGGAAAUUUUGGACAAUGGGGGCAACCCUGAUCCAGCAAUGCCGCGUGUGUGAAGAAGGCCUUCGGGUUGUAAAGCACUUUUGUCCGGAAAGAAAUCGCGCUGGUUAAUACCUGGCGUGGAUGACGGUACCGGAAGAAUAAGCACCGGCUAACUACGUGCCAGCAGCCGCCGUAA